GCAGACUAAAGGAUGAGAUUUGCAUAGAGGAAAAGUGUAAUUGCUGGUCUUGGUAUAUAAAAUUACUGUUUCGUGAAUUUUACAUAGAAAUAUUUAAAAGGAACCAGACCCCAAAAAAUGAAAGUAGAAUAAUUAAAAAAAAAAAGUAAAGAAUAAUGGUUUAUGACUCUCACAAGUCACCACCCACCCACCGCCAACGAAUCCAGUGUUUUCUUCCUCCCACACCACUCUUCGGGCAAUUCGGGCAGCUUCUCUACAGACUUGAUGAAAAAUGAAAACUCCAAUUCCGCCUUUCCGCACUACCUGCCCGUCCGUACUCCAGCUGGAAAUACCUGCCCUGUGAGCUGUAUUUCAACUAUCCCAAAAAAGAAAAAUACUUCCGAUUUUCCAAAUUACAAAACCACCCCUCAAAUUUUCAACACGUUCCCUCAGUCGUAUGUGCAGGCGUUCUUGAGCGAGAUUGUGGCGUUAAGCUUCUUUGGGUCGAAAGUAAUGUCGCAUCCAAUCGUCUUGUAGAAUCUCGGCUUCACCAAUUUCCCAAGAACGUAGGCUCUUGAUUUCACUGUGAAAUUGAGCGUCAGAUGAAUCGGAAGCAACGGCCUUCCAGUUGCCGUACUGCUCAGUCCUGCUCCGCUUCCGUACAUCGGGAUCUUAUCCCCGCCGAUCGAUAUCGCCACCGAUCUCUGGCUACUUCUCUUCUCACAAAACAUCUUNNNNNNNNNNNNNNNNNNNNNNNNNNNNNNNNNNNNNNNNNNNNNNNNNNNNNNNNNNNNNNNNNNNNNNNNNNNNNNNNNNNNNNNNNNNNNNNNNNNNNNNNNNNNNNAAAACAGCAACUAAGCUAUGUAAACAGUCGACUACUAACAAACAGAAAUUAAAACUCGGAAUUAAACUGAAGUUAGUAAUCAACAAACCUUCAUCGAGAUCUUGGGCUUCUGAGGUCUGCUAGCGCCCCAGAGAAUCAAGGAGAACAUAGAGAAGAGAAGGAUGAACGCAAGCACAAAGGCAAGGAAAUAGCAACGGCGAGGGAUUCCUCUCUCCCGAUCUUCAUCCUCGAGAAGACCUUCUUCCUCAAUCACAUCGCAGUCCUUCCAUUGCUUCUCAUUCCCGUUCCUGUGUCCACCGCCGCCCGAGCCUUGGGAUCACUCGCUUUGGUCUUCUUCUUCCUUCUCAAGUGAACGCCGCCAACGAUUUGCUUUUGGAAGAGAUUGCCACUUUUAAUGGCCAACGAAUCAAUGAUCCUCGUCUCCGCUCAAUUCAUUGCCACUGUUAUUUAUAACCUCUCAAUUGAGAUUCCACGCACCAAAAAGUGGAUUUGUUCUUACUCUGAUAAGCGCUGAAGUCCUCCACCAAAUCCUUAAUUCUAGUUUUGUUAUAGACCCAAAGCUAACAUUAGUGGGGAGCCAAAAAUUUAGCCAAAAGGGUGUCUUUCCUCGUAUAAAAAUAGUUAACUAUAUAAUAGAAAAAUCAACUAUCAAUGAAAUAAAUAAAAAAUAACAUUAUAAAUACUAAUGAUUUGUAAAAUUAGAGAGUAAUAGUUUCAAUCACACCAUCUACAAUGAAUUACGACGCGAUUUCAUAUCAUGAAAGUAUUAUUAAACAAAUUCCUUAUCUAAACUAGCACAAAAAUCUAAAGUUUUUCGCCUCAACAUUUUGUGUUAUUAGAUAAAUCAUUCGUUGGUCGAGUUUUAUAGUAUCAUACUUAAUUAAUAUUUACAUUAUAAAGGUGGUAUCCACAUGUACCGUGUAUUAUGUACUCCCUUUUAAUCAUUUAAAUUUUAUCGGAUAUUUCAAAAGGGAUGAAUACCAUGUACAAUAUUUUUGCCAUAUUUUACGUUUAAAUGACACAUAACUCAAUUGAUUGGCCCGAUAAAUAUUAUGAAUUGGGGAAGUUCCUACGGCUGAAGGGGGUGUUAGCCUCAAGGACUUCUACUCAUGAAAUAAAGCUAAUACUAAUCGGCACAUUUGGUCGCUUAUUGUUGGUGAUGGCUCCAAAUGGGUGGCUUGGGCAUACAAAUAUCGUAUCAAAGGUAAAGACAUUUGGAAGAGUGCAACAGAUGACACUAUCAUUCAGCAAAUUCGUGGUGAGAUCGCUGUGAAAAUUGCAGGUCAUGCCGAUGAAAAGAAGCUGCGGGAUUGGUUUUAGUAUCAUAUAUAAAAGCAGAGUCGCAGACUAAAGGAUGAGAUUUGCAUAGAGGAAAAGUGUAAUUGCUGGUCUUGGUAUAUAAAAUUACUGUUUCGUGAAUUUUACAUAGAAAUAUUUAAAAGGAACCAGACCCCAAAAAAUGAAAGUAGAAUAAUUAAAAAAAAAAAGUAAAGAAUAAUGGUUUAUGACUCUCACAAGUCACCACCCACCCACCGCCAACGAAUCCAGUGUUUUCUUCCUCCCACACCACUCUUCGGGCAAUUCGGGCAGCUUCUCUACAGACUUGAUGAAAAAUGAAAACUCCAAUUCCGCCUUUCCGCACUACCUGCCCGUCCGUACUCCAGCUGGAAAUACCUGCCCUGUGAGCUGUAUUUCAACUAUCCCAAAAAAGAAAAAUACUUCCGAUUUUCCAAAUUACAAAACCACCCCUCAAAUUUUCAACACGUUCCCUCAG
rnacentral:lncRNA from 1 species